rnacentral:rRNA from 1 species
CCUACGGGAGGCAGCAGUGGGGAAUAUUGCACAAUGGGGGAAACCCUGAUGCAGCGACGCCGCGUGAGUGAAGAAGUAUCUCGGUACGUAAAGCUCUAUCAGCAGGGAAGAAAAUGACGGUACCUGACUAAGAAGCCCCGGCUAACUACGUGCCAGCAGCCGCGGUAAUACGUAGGGGGCAAGCGUUAUCCGGAUUUACUGGGUGUAAAGGGAGCGUAGACGGCAGCACAAGUCUGGAGUGAAAUCCCGGGGCUUAACCCCGAACUGCUUUGGAAACUGUGCGGCUGGAGUGCAGGAGGGGUAAGCGGAAUUCCUAGUGUAGCGGUGAAAUGCGUAGAUAUUAGGAGGAACACCGGUGGCGAAGGCGGCUUACUGGACUGUAACUGACGUUGAGGCUCGAAAGCGUGGGGAGCAAACAGGAUUAGAUACCCGUGUAGUC